AUCAACAGGGAUUGCCCCAGUAACGGCGAGUGAAGCGGCAGGAGCUCAAAUUUGAAAUCUGGGGCCCCCGGCCUCCGAGUUGUAAUUUGGAGAGGCUCCUUCGGGGGGGAGCGCUGGCCCAUGUUCCUUGGAACAGGACGUCGCAGAGGGUGAGAAUCCCGUGCCAGGCCGGCUGCCUCCUCCCGCGUGAAGGGCCUUCGACGAGUCGAGUUGUUUGGGAAUGCAGCUCCAAGCGGGUGGUAAAUUUCAUCUAAAGCUAAAUACCGGCGGGAGACCGAUAGCGCACAAGUAGAGUGAUCGAAAGAUGAAAAGCACUUUGAAAAUAGAGUCAAAAAGUACGUGAAAUUGUUGAAAGGGAAGCGCUUGAGACCAGACUCAGACCCAGGCAAACACCGCGCCCCCAGGGGCCGUGCAAUUGCCCGGUGCUGGGCCAGCAUCAGUUGGCGUGGCGGGACAAGGGCGCGGGAAAUGUGGCUCCCCUCGGGGAGUGUUAUCAGGCCCGCGCCGGAUGCCGCCGACGCCGACUGAGGACCGCGCCUCGGCUAGGAUGCUGGCUUAAUGGCCUUCAGCGACCCGUCUUGAAACACGGACCAAGGAGUCUAACAUCUAUGCGAGUGUUUGGGCGCCAAACCCUUGCGCGGAAUGAAAGUGAGCGGAGGUGGGAACCCCUCGCCGGGCGCACCAUCGACCGAUCCUGAUGUCUUCGGAUGGAUUUGAGUAGGAGCAUAGCUGUUGGGACCCGAAAGAUGGUGAACUAUGCCUGAAUAGGGUGAAGCCAGAGGAAACUCUGGUGGAGGCUCGCAGCGGUUCUGACGUGCAAAUCGAUCGUCAAAUUUGGGUAUAGGGGCGAAAGACUAAUCGAACCAUCUAGUAGCUGGUUCUGC
rnacentral:rRNA from 1 species